rnacentral:lncRNA from 1 species
AUGACUUCAUCAGGCACUGCUAUCAUGGGGCACUGGUAACAAAUAAAUAUCACUUUGGAGGCCAUGUGCAGAUCAGAUUUGGAAGUGACCAAGACUGGAGGCAGGGACACCAGAGUUUUCUGUUAAAAACUGGUCCAUGCAAGAAAAGAUGACUCCUGAAAUAAGACAGUGAUCAUUAGGAUGAAGAGGAAGAGAAGAUUUGAGGAAUACUUAGAACAGAAUUUACUGAAUUUACUGGUUGAAUUGAAUGUGAAGAGGAGAUGAAUAAAGAAGAAAACACCCUCAAAGGAACAAAUAUGAAACAAUCUCUGGAAAAUGGAAUUUGAUUUUGAUUCAACAACAGGAGAAUUCUACUGUUUUUCUCCAGCAGCUCCACGAUAAAAGGGAACCCUGAGCAGAACACAUGCACAAACUCAUGCCAUACCCUAAGGGACAAGGUUCCCCACAUCUACUUGGAAAUCUUUGGGAUGCUCAAUGGAGAAAAACAAGGAGAGAAAAAUCUAAACCCAGCAGAAGAGAAAGUUUAAGAAAGCGGUCGUCGCCAAUACCAAAAUUAGCUAUGAUAUUCAGGAAGAAAAAAAUGGAAACACGAUAACCACAGUCAAUAAAGACCAAGGCCACAUUCCAUUGACCAGAGCUCAGCCACGCGCCACACCUGGCUAAAGAGACUCUGGCUGAAGAAUUCCCUGAAUAUUUUAAUGUAGCUCUAGGUUAUAACACAGAACAACCACAAGGUGGCAGAAGAACUCCAUUCUUGUAAAUCUCUUAGUUGCUUCUUUAUUUCAUCUUCCCUAUUCCAUCUAAUGUUCCCUGAAUUUUACUAUUUUGUUGGUUUGAAAAUAUGUGUGACUUACGUCCUUUAAAGGAUUUGGUUCGUAAGGUUUUGAAUAGACUGGAAUAUAAAACAUUUAUAGAAAAGAAAAAUACCUACAGUAUGAUGUUAGUGAACUAUUAAUAAUCCAAUUAAAUAAAAUAUAUUUGCUUUGGAUUAAUACAUA